rnacentral:rRNA from 1 species
UACGGAGGUGGCAAGCGUUGCUCGGAAUCACUGGGCGUAAAGGGCGCGUAGGCGGGGCGGUAAGUCGGGUGUGAAAUCCCUCGGCCCAACCGAGGAACUGCGCCCGAGACUGCUUCUCUUGAGUCCCGGAGAGGAAGAUGGAAUUCCCGGUGUAGCGGUGAAAUGUGUAGAGAUCGGGAGGAACACCGGUGGCGAAGGCGGUCUUCUGGACGGUGACUGACGCUGAGGCGCGAAAGCGUGGGGAGCAAACGGG